rnacentral:rRNA from 1 species
AAUUUCCUGGAAACAGGAAAGUGCCUCAUUAGAGGAGCUUGGUGACAGGUGCUGCAUGGCUGUCGUCAGCUCGUGUCGUGAGAUGUUGGGUUAAGUCCCGCAACGAGCGCAACCCUUGCCUUUAGUUGCCAUCAUUUAGUUGGGCACUCUAGAGGGACUGCCGGUGUCAAACCGGAGGAAGGUGGGGAUGACGUCAAGUCCUCAUGGCCUUUAUGACCAGGGCUACACACGUACUACAAUGGCAUGUACAAAGGGCAGCCACAGGGCGACCUGGAGCGAAUCCUUAAAACAUGUCUCAGUCCGGAUUGGAGUCUGCAACUCGACUCCAUGAAGUUGGAAUCGCUAGUAAUCGUAGAUCAGCAUGCUACGGUGAAUACGUUCCCGGGCCUUGUACACACCGCCCGUCACACCACGGGAGUUGGUUGUACCAGAAGUAGUUGAGCGAACCUUUAUGGGCGCAGGCUACCAAGGUAUGGUCGGUAACUGGGGUGAAGUCGUAACAAGGUA